rnacentral:rRNA from 1 species
UACGUAGGGGGCAAGCGUUGUCCGGAAUUAUUGGGCGUAAAGAGCGCGUAGGCGGUCCGAUAAGUCGGCUGUGAAAGUCAAGGGCUCAACCUCGAGACGCCGAUGGAAACCGUCUGGCUAGAGUCCGGAAGAGGAGAGUGGAAUUCCCGGUGGUAGCGGUGAAAUGCGCAGAUAUCGGGAAGAACACCCGUGGCUAAGGCGGCUCUCUCGGACGGUUUCUGACACUAAGACUCGAAAGCGUGGGGAGCAAACAGG